rnacentral:rRNA from 1 species
GAUGAACGCUGGCGGCGUGCCUAAUACAUGCAAGUCGAGCGAACAGACGAGGAGCUUGCUCCUCUGACGUUAGCGGCGGACGGGUGAGUAACACGUGGAUAACCUACCUAUAAGACUGGGAUAACUUCGGGAAACCGGGGCUAAUACCGGAUAAUAUAUUGAACCGCAUGGUUCAAUAGUGAAAGACGGUUUUGCUGUCACUUAUAGAUGGAUCCGCGCCGCAUUAGCUAGUUGGUAAGGUAACGGCUUACCAAGGCAACGAUGCGUAGCCGACCUGAGAGGGUGAUAGGCCACACUGGAACUGAGACACGGUCCAGACUCCUACGGGAGGCAGCAGUAGGGAAUCUUCCGCAAUGGGCGAAAGCCUGACGGAGCAACGCCGCGUGAGUGAUGAAGGUCUUCGGAUCGUAAAACUCUGUUAUUAGGGAAGAACAAAUGUGUAAGUAACUAUGCACGUCUUGACGGUACCUAAUCAGAAAGCCACGGCUAACUACGUG